rnacentral:lncRNA from 1 species
UCUGGGAGGUGAUGCCAUCACAUGCAGUGAAUUGGAGCCUGACCCCAGUAGAACCCCUAAAUUUAAAAUGGAUAACUUUUCAUCAAAUGUCAGCACAGAGCACAUGAGACUGUCCAAGCAGGAUCACAGAUCUAGAGCACUUGGCCAAUUUCAAGGCUCUGCUACUUCAUCUAUGGAAGAGGACCACAAUUUUCAGUGGAAAGGGGAGAAGUUACAUGAAGGAUCCCAAAUUCACAGCUUAAUUAGGAGCCUUCCAAACACUAAGCUAGCUCUAGCAAUGUGUGAAUCAACUUAAUUGCCAAUGUGUACAUCCCUGGAGAGUAUACUGCCAAGCAUCUACUGCAGUAUGAAGUACACAGCAGUGAGAACAUGUGCCUGUCUGCCUAGAUGAAUGCCAAUCUGAUCUUCAAGUCCCUUCUUGCCUCUUCUGCUUUGUAUUUCUUCCUUGAGUGCAAGGCAUGAAUAGGGAUUCUGAGAAAUGGGACAUUGCCAACCCUGAUGGUCAUCUCAUGAGUUGAAGAGGUUGGGAGUUCCUAAUGCCACUUGUUCAGUGGGAGGCAUUGACUAUCUAUACUUCUUGGAGGAAAAGAUGCUCUACUGUCCUCAGAAAAUACCCAAAAGAUGUUACUGUUGAAAAAAAUUAAGAAUAUCUAGGCCAAGGUCAUGUAUAGGCUUCGUUUAGCUG